ensembl:lncRNA
AACCACCCAGCAGUAUGUAAAGUCAAAUUAUAAAAUACAAGUAAAUAACAAUUGCAGAACAGAAUGUCAGUGUAAUGAACACACACUUCGUUUUGACAAAGCGCACUGCUUAGGUAAAUGAUCUGAGUAGUUGUUCAUCACUGAGCAAUUUGUUGAUAUGUGUUUCGAGCCAAAUAAAUGACAGGGAGAGAGAGAGUGACGUCAGAACACGUCAUACUAUAACCUCCCGGGAGCGGACGGAGGGGGUCAGUCGUUGGGAUGCGCAUGCGCAGACAGAGUGUGCGAGCGGCGGGCCUUGACCUUUCGGGAAAAAAACUCACGGACGGUGACAGCGAAACGGAUAACAGUCUUCAGUACCUGCUGGACUUUGAAGCUGUGGAUUCUGGGACUGUUAGAAAAGCUCCAACAAAAUGAGGAAGAGGAGGGGGAGAAACACAAUUUGGUUGAAUUACAAUUGGAUGGAAGGCGAGGACAAGGAGAAGGAAGCUUAGGAUGAGGAGGAAGAGAAGCAGCAGGAGCAUCUUUAGGGAUCCCUAUGAUGUCAUUGAGAGGCAGCGGCGAGAGGGGAGACCUCGGCUCAUCCAGCUGGAGAGCCUGACCAGGAGGAGUCGAACAUUAACUCAGCUCUUCCAGGGCACCCUGCAGACUCGGCUGCUGGCAUCGGCGAGGGAUGACGUGAACGCCAAACUGGAGUCCAUCACAGGUCAACUGCAGCUCCUUGUCUCAGAGUGGGAGGGAUUUGAAGCACAAAGGGAGGAGCUUGUCGUUUGGUUGGCUGAUAUGGAUGUCCGCCUGAGAGGUUGACCAGCUGACAGGAAACACCAGUGAAAAACUGAAACAACUGCAGGUGUGGGCUUGUUUUGAUAUGACAUAUGUUUGAUAUGAAACAUACGUCAGAGACAUUAUCCUAAACUGGACUAACAAAGGACCAUGAGUACAACAUGAAACGUACAUUACAUAACGUAAGGCUGAAGUUCAUUGAUCAUUUU